rnacentral:rRNA from 1 species
ACGAUGAUGCCCACUUGUGGGUGGAUUAGUGGCGAACGGGUGAGUAACACGUGAGUAACCUGCCCUUGACUCUGGGAUAAGCCUGGGAAACUGGGUCUAAUACCGGAUAUGACCUUCCAUCGCAUGGUGGUUGGUGGAAAGCUUUUGUGGUUUUGGAUGGACUCGCGGCCUAUCAGCUUGUUGGUGGGGUAAUGGCCUACCAAGGCGACGACGGGUAGCCGGCCUGAGAGGGUGACCGGCCACACUGGGACUGAGACACGGCCCAGACUCCUACGGGAGGCAGCAGUGGGGAAUAUUGCACAAUGGGCGCAAGCCUGAUGCAGCGACGCCGCGUGAGGGAUGACGGCCUUCGGGUUGUAAACCUCUUUCAGUAGGGAAGAAGCGAAAGUGACGGUACCUGCAGAAGAAGCGCCGGCUAACUACGUGCCAGCAGCCGCGGUAAUACGUAGGGCGCAAGCGUUA